rnacentral:lncRNA from 1 species
GUUUUCUAUGUACAUUUAUGUUUCCUUCAGAAAAGGAAAGUUUGUAACAUAAUGCCUACAUACAUACAUUCAGAUAACUGAAGAAUGUUUAAGUUGAUGUGAAAACUGUAAACAAUAAACUUGCAUAAGAAGCGAUCAAUAUAUAUAUAUAUAUAUAGUAUAUAUAGUAAUAUAUCAGUGAUAGGUACCUCUUCUUUGGUCCUCCUUGUUUUACUAACACCCACGUGGUGUCUAGGACAUCUGGAAAUGUUGCUGGAGCCUUUGAAGCCCUAGUCUAUAUGUGUUCAUGCUGGAGGAACUGAAGCUGAAGCGGGGGAAGGAAGUAAUUUUUAACUCCUCCCUAAAUGCCAGUCACUGCCAGGGAGAAGUCAAUCUGGUAUAUGGCAUCUAAGAGAAAAUACAUGGAUACCUGUUACGAAACAGAGAUGCUGUCUCUGCUGAGGCCUUUGUAGUGGCUCACAAAGAAAGGCCAAAAACGGGACUGGAGAAGAACAGAAGAAGAGGCAUUCCAGGAAGCCAACUUAGCUGCUAAACAGGCCCAGGCACUGGGCAUCAUGUGUCAGCCACACGGGUACGGUGUUGAAGUGGAAAAAAGCCUGCAGACCCUGGGAAAACCAUUGGGGGAGAGAGGAGAAGUGCCCUUUGAAGCAUUUGAUGCCCUGCUGGCAUCCAACACCAGCAUGGUCCUUUUCUCUCCUUUUCAGCCUUUUGCCAUCUCUCAGUGGUUGGUAAGUAAUAGCGCGCUUGCUUAGGGAGUUUCUGCUUCUCGCUUACUGGGAUUAUCUACUAUGGGUGCCUGUGUGUGUGUGUGUGUGUGUGUGUGUGUGUGUGUGUGUGUGUGUGUGUGAGGGUGUGUGUGAGGGUGUGUAUGCUGAAGUGAACUCACACAGAUGACACAGAAUGGUGGGGCUGGAAGGGACCUCAAGGAUCAUGAAGCUUCAACCCCGCUGCGGCAAUCAGGGCCACCAACCUCCACACUUAAUACCAGCCCAGGCUGCCCAGAGCCCCAUCCAACCUGGUCUUGAACAGCUCCAGGGAUGGACGGGGCAUACACAGCCUCCCUGGGCAGCUGUUUCAGCACCUCACCACUCUCACAGUAAAGAAUGUCCCCCUGACAUCCAACCUAAAUCUUCCCUC